rnacentral:rRNA from 1 species
CUCGAUCACUCCUACGGGAGGCAGCAGUGGGGAAUAUUGCACAAUGGGCGCAAGCCUGAUGCAGCCAUGCCGCGUGUAUGAAGAAGGCCUUCGGGUUGUAAAGUACUUUCAGCAGUGAGGAAGGUGGAGUCGUUAAUAGCGGCCUCAUUUGACGUUAGCUGCAGAAGAAGCACCGGCUAACUCCGUGCCAGCAGCCGCGGUAAUACGGAGGGUGCGAGCGUUAAUCGGAAUUACUGGGCGUAAAGCGCAUGCAGGUGGUUUGUUAAGUCAGAUGUGAAAGCCCGGGGCUCAACCUCGGAAUUGCAUUUGAAACUGGCAGACUAGAGUACUGUAGAGGGGGUAGAAUUUCAGGUGUAGCGGUGAAAAUGCGUAGAGAUCUGAAGGAAUACCGGUGGCGAAGGCGGCCCCCUGGACAGAUACUGACACUCAGAUGCGAAAGCGUGGGGAGCAAACAGGAUUAGAUACCCUGGUAG